rnacentral:tRNA from 1 species
GGGCCGUUAGCUCAGUGGGUUGAGCGUGGUGCUGAGAACGCUGAGGUGCCGGGUUCGAUUCCCAUUUGGUCCC